UUGACGCCGCGGCGCUGCGGCUUCUAGGUCGCGCCUGCACAGAGGAAGAAGAAGCCGGUGAAAGCCCGGCGCGGUCGCGCCACUGUAACCGACACUGCGAAGCGGGGUCGGGAGCCAGACCUUCUCCCUCGGGCGACAAACCUCU
rnacentral:ncRNA from 2 species